ensembl:lncRNA
UGCCAAUCUCCUUUUUUGGAAAUUUCUCCUUAGCAUUCUGAAUUUAUUACAAAUUCAUUGUUUCUAAUACAAAUUUUCCCUUUCUCUCGUCAAUUUAUUAUCUGUUUUUCAUUUCCCUUCUCUUUUGUUAAUCUUUCUAAAUAACUUUAAAGUGGUCCUCCAUCUAUUUAGCUAAAUGAAUUCACUCCACAGAUACUCAUUAUUUUGAGGAUGAUUUAUGCAAGCACUAUUAGCUAGAUUGUUCCUUGUUUGAAGGUUUUUCUGCAAUCAGAAGAACUCAGAUUUGAGUCAGCUAGAAUGAGAUCCAGUGAAAAAAAAUUAUUACAUAAAGUGUUCAGCACCUCCAUCAGACUUUGUAUGUGGGAGGUCAGCUCAAAAGGUAUAAAAACACAAAGCAGCUUUCUGCUGUGGGUCUGACCCACUGAUCUCACCUUAGCCUGGGAAAUGCUGUAGCAUCGUGCCCCAAAAUUACAUCAGGUUGUUUGUUUGCUUCCAGUUGAUACUUACAAUUCCAUGGGAUGAGGUCCUGUGUCACACGGUGGGGUGCAGGAUGUGGCAUAAAGGGGAGCAAGAGCCAGGAUAGCCCUCGUUCCUUUGGGCCACUGGGGGGUUUACAGCCCUUGGGAGUCUGUAGGAAAAGUGGAAGGGGGGACAGUCCAUAAGUUGGCUCUAUGAAGAAUACUUAAGAUGAGUUGGGGAUCUUUCUGCGAAGUCCUGUCUUGUCUUUCUGUACCAGCAAAUUGCUGCUUUGCACUAAAUGAAUGAAAUGAUGAAGAUGAGGAAGGAAGCGAGGUUAGAUGCCCUCAAUCUAUAUGUGGGAUGUGAUGGAGCGGAUCCAUUUUCUCCACUGUUGAAACCACUGUGGCUGCUGUAGCUUUGGGAGCUGUCUUGACCUGGGUGGCUGCUGUCUGUGUGAUUUUGGGGCAGCUGUGCCCAUCCCCAUCCUGUGUGCUCUGGAGUACAGCCAGGUGCGUGCCAGUGGGGGACGAUCUAUGAGGGCCAGCUAAGAGCAUUACACAUCCCAUUAGGGCAGUUGUGAAAUUGCAAGGCAAGUGCCCAUUCAGGGUACGUACAUCCUCAGAUCAGUAUUGAUCUUGAGAUUUCUGUUGGCUUAUUAAUGACAGCAGCUCUGCGGCCAGAUCCUUCUGGCUGCUGUAGACCUGCAGGAGCCCUCCUGCUGCCAGCGCAGCCAUCUGGAGUAAAUGGGGCAGGAUCUGUCCUUCUCCUUCCAACCACCACACGUGGGUUAAGCAGGAAGCAUGGGAGGGAGGGAGUGUUUUUGCCAGCAAAAUGUUGUCUCUCUUCAGCAAUGACCACCAUUGGAGUUAAUUCAUCUUUCGGAGAAUAAGCCAAAAUCCCCACUGAGGAUUGGUUUGGGCCUAUUUUUUGCCAAGCUUCAUCAGAAUCCUCUGUUUUCGCAAUAAAAGUCCCUCUCAGCUG